rnacentral:rRNA from 1 species
CGAGUGAAUGAGGAGAGCCCAGCACUGAAUCCUUGAGUUUUUUUUACUUAAAGGAAUUGUAGUGUAUAGGUGCGGCUAUCUUUUUAUUUCGUGCAUCCAAAGUCCCCUUGAGUGGGGCCACAGUCCAAAGAAGGUGCUAGACCUGUACGGAUGAUGAAAUAUUAAGUAGGUCGACCCUUGGAGUCGGGUUGUCUGAGAUCGCAGCCCAAAGAGGGUGGUAAACCUCAUCUAAGGCUAAAUAUGACCACGAGACCGAUAGCAAACAAGUACCGUGAGGGAAAGUUGCAAAGAACUUUGAAGAGAGAGUUCAAGAGGGCGUGAAACCGCUAAGAUGGAAGCGAAUAGAGUUGACGAAACUUGUCGGUAUUCAACCGAUCAAUUCAGCGAUUUUACGGCUAUGUACCUCUCAUAUCUCUCGGGGACAUAGACGUGAUUUUAUUGUUGAAUAAAAUUGGCUAAUGAUUGGUGAAUUUGCCGACGGUAUGCGCUGAGAGCCUUGUCAAAAAUGAUAGUAUGUUGAUAUGCAUGUGUAGAGGACCAUCCAAUUUUUGGUGUGGAACCCUCGAUGUAAUGAUACAUAUCUAUGAUAAGGUUAUUCUAAUAUAGAUAUAUACAGCAACUUUAGCUAGUUAAUGCGCAUCACUUUUGUUAAGGUUUAUCGGGCUAUUAUACGGUCGCAUGCGACUAGUAUUUUGUCUUAUUGAUCAGCCUUGAUGAAGUGUAAAUGAUUGCAUAUAAAGUUGUGUCUCAGUGUGAACGUCAAUCACCUUUUUGACCCGUCUUGAAACCCGGACCAAGGGGUUUAGCAUAUACGCAAGUUUUUAGAUGUUUAAAUCAUAAAAGCAUAAUGAAAGUGAAGAUCAUCCUUGGUAUGAUUGAUAUGUGAUCCAUAUUGGUCAUUUUUUUCCCAAAAAAAAAAAAAAGAUGACAUUUAAAAAAUGAUAUGGAGCAACAUAGUCCCGUUCUUGUUGCUUGCAAUGGGGCGGAGAUAGAGCGUAUACGCUGGGACCCGAAAGAUGGUGAACUAUGCCUGAGCAGGAUGAAGCCAGAGGAAACUCUGGUGGAAGUCCGAAGCGAUUCUGACGUGCAAAUCGAUCGUCUGACUUUGGUAUAGGGGCGAAAGACUAAUCGAACUAUCUAGUAGCUGGUUCCCUCUGAAGUUUCCCCCAGGAUAGCUGGAGUACAUAAAAAGCAGUUAUAUUCGGUAAAGCGAAUGAUUAGAGGAAUUGGGGACGAAACGUCCUCAACCUAUUCUCAAACUUUCAAUGGGUAUGAAGUCUCGCUUGCUUAAAAACUAUCAUAAGUUGAUGAAGCGUAGACAUUGAAUGUGUGCUCCAAGUGGGCCAUUUUUGGUAAGCAGAACUGGCGCUGUGGGAUGAACCAAACGUUGAGUUAAAGUGCCAAAAUUUCCGCUCAUUAGAUCCCAUGAAAGGCGUUGGUUGAUAUAGACAGCAGGACGGUGGCCAUGGAAGUUGGAAGCCGCUAAGGAGUGUGUAACAACUCACCUGCCGAAUCAACUAGCCCUGAAAAUGGAUGGCGCUUGAGCGGAAAACUUAUACUCAACCGUUGUAUGGCUUGAGCUAUAACAGUCAAUCAUCAAUCAUUUUCGUGUUGUUGUUGUUUAUUACUUCAACUACACAAGAUUUUUGUUGCAAAGAAGCCUGGCCGCAACGAGUAAGAGGGUCGCAAUGGUUUGCGUUGAAGGCUUUGGGCGUAGGCUCAGCUGGAGCUUCCAUUGGUGCAGAUCUUGGUGGUAGUAGCAAAUAUUCAAGUGGGAUCCUUGAAGACUGAAGUGGAGAAGGGUUCCACGUGAACAGCAGUUGAAUGUGGGUCAGUCGAUCCUAAGAUAUUGGCUAGUGCCUUAUAUCAUUGAGAAAAGGAGUUCAAAUCCAUCUCAUUAAUCGAAAGGGAAACGGGUUAAUAUUCCCGUACCUGGACACGGAGAUAAGCAUCCAUUGCGGGUGUUUAGUGCGGUAACGCAAACGAACUCGGAGACGUUGAAUAGAGCUCGAGCCAGAGUUCUCUUUUCUGGUUAAGGAACGGACUCCCUGGAAACGGUUCAACCGGAGAUAGGGACGUUGUUUCCGUAAAGCGCCACGGUUCCUGUGGUGUCUCGUGCGCUCUGUUCGACCCUUGAAAAUCCGAGGGAGGCUAUUUGAAUUUCGUGCCAGAUCGUACCGAUAUCCGCAGCAGGUCUCCAAGGUGAACAGCCUCUAGUCGAUAGAAUAAUGUAGGUAAGGGAAGUCGGCAAAUUAGAUCCGUAACUUCGGGAAAAGGAUUGGCUCUAAGGACUGGGCCGGUCGGGCUUCAGUGUGAAGUGAGUACGGUUUGAUCCAUGCAGUGUGACGCCUGUUUAAUACAGGUGAAACUCGGCUAGUGUUCGAAUUGUCUUAUGGACCGCUGCAGCUAUGUGCCAUAUCUGUAUAGAUAGCGGUGCUUCGGCCGGCGCUAAACAGUCAGCUUAGAACUGGCACGGACUCGGGGAAUCCGACUGUCUAAUUAAAACAGAGGAGACAGAUGGCCCUUGCGGGCGUUGACUGUCUCUGAUUUCUGCCCAGUGCUCUGAAUGUAAAAGUGAAGAAAUUCAACCAAGCGCGGGUAAACGGCGGGAGUAACUAUGACUCUCUUAAGGUAGCCAAAUGCCUAGUCGAUUUAUUGUCGACGCGCAUGAAUGGAUUAACGAGAUUCCCACUGUCCCUAUCUACUAUCUAGCGAAACCACAGCCAAGGGAACGGGCUUGGUGAACACAGCGGGGAAAGAAGACCCUGUUGAGCUUGACUCUAGUCCGACUCUGUGAAGAGUCAUGAGAGGUGUAGUAUAAGUGGGAGGUUUAGCCAACAGUGAAAUACCACUACUUUCAUCGAUUCUUUACUUACUCGGUAAGACGAGAAUUGAGCCUAUCGGCUCUUGAUUCUGGUAUUAAGUGCCAGCCACUCGGUGGCCGUACGACUCGCGCCGAAGACAGUGUCAGGCGGGGAGUUUGACUGGGGCGGUACAUCUGUCAAAACGUAACGCAGGUGUCCUAAGGCUAGCUCAGAGAGGACGGAAACCUCUCGUAGAGUAAAAGGGCAAAAGCUCGCUUGAUCUUGAUUUCCAGUACGAAUACAGACCGCGAAAGCGAGGCCUAUCGAUCCUUUUGAAUUAGAAGGUCUCUAGCAAGAGGUGUCAGAAAAGUUACCACAGGGAUAACUGGCUUGUGGCAGCCAAGCGUCCAUAGCUAUGUGCA